GGGAGUAUUGAUUUUAUGGGGGCGCGCUGUUCAAUACGAAAUGGCGGAGCCAGUGAACAUUAUCUGCUCACCUGUCAAAUAUAAAUCAAAAGUUUGGCAAUACUACGGAUUUUAUAAAGUUAAAGGAGAACUUGUCAAGUCAGACGCAAACUGCAAAAUGUGCCAUGCUGCUGUACGCUACACAGAGAGUACCACAAACCUCAUUAGUCACCUGAAACGACGGCACGGUGUGACUGUGGAGGCCUCCGCCAGCACCCACCGCCUGUAAGAUGUGGAGACUACGUCUAUGAGCGGGAGCCUUACGACUGUGUGACCCUGCAUGCACUGAGGACAGCUGAUCACUACGGUGUGCACUUUCAUUCUUGAAUUCUCAGGGAGUCAGCGGGUUCAUGAGGACAGGAUGGACAGUCUGAAAGCACAAUACCCCCAGCUACUGCUGUUCCUGGCUUGGAGGCAUAAAAAGACUUGCAGUUAUACCGAUGAGCUCAGAGACAUCUUCCACUCUUGCGUGUCACUUCAUACUGAUACAUCAUUGUGAAAGUGCUUCCCAAUGCCAUAAAUCACCAAAUCUCUUGUUUUGAAAGAGAGAAACAAGCUAUUGGAGCCUCUCUGAAUAAGAACAGAAAAAGACACAGUGAGAAGCAACUGUAACAUGAAGAGACUUACAAGAAAUAUGGGUUUGAUAAGGAAGACUCUGGCUAGGAUGGACUGAGAAACUAUACUAGAGCUGCAGAAAUAGAAAGUAAGUGAAAUACAAGUAAAAAUGAUGAUGGAACCCUCAUUAUGAACACAAGAUCUGCCCACAAUUUUAAUGAUGUUAUCUUUGAUCUUAAAACAUGUCUUUAGCGCCUCUUGCACUUCCUUUUAAUGAGAGCUCUGUUAAAUGUGUUAACAAUUAAAACUUAGAGCUAACUUACUAUGUGGCAAGUUGUUUUUACCUGCAGAGCCAUCAGGAAAUAAUUUAAUACAUUUCCUGAUGUUUCUCAGCAAGCAGGAGUCAAGGACGUGAGAAAAAAAAAAGUCUGAUGUCGUACCCGUUGCUCAUAGCAACCACACAGAUGUAUUAAAUAAAUGCCAAGCAGAAGUCUUGACAUCUCUUCUCAUGAAUUCUUUAGAAAAAGUGAAGUGAAUGCUGCAGAUGGAAGGAGAUGAACAGUUUGUGAUAACUGAAACAGUAUAUUUCAUCUACCCAGUAUAUUAGAUUUUUCUUUUUUAUAUUAUGUAUAUUUGAUUCUUAUAAUGGAAUGCACUUAAAUGCCAUUGCAUUAAUAAAUCUAAAGUUAGCUGUGCACCUAUA